UUUGUGUGGAUUUCGGUAGUACCUUGACGGAUAAGCGGUAUAGAAAAUGGAUGGAUGGAUUUCGGUAGUAAGCAAAUGCAAACUGAAUAUGAGCUAAUUUGUUUCUAAAACUAAAGCUGUAAAGCAAAAGGCUUUAUCACAAGUGAAACAUUUCUUGUGUUUGAAGGAUAUUAGCUGUAACGGGCAGGUAGAGGAUGUCUGUUUCAGUGUGGAUGAUAAUAUCCUGGGAGAUGUACUUCUUUGGCUCUACCUCUCCUGCUUGGACUGCACCCAUGGCAAACAGCUGAACCUGCAGCUCAGCAUGCAACCCUGCAGCCACCUGAACAGACACACAGUGUCAACACCCACAUUCUUCAUCCUCACAGUAAUGGCUGAGGACGUGCCCUCCUGCAGUGUACCAAAGUUAACACUGGAUGGGAGGAGCUGGAACCCCCUCGCUAUGACACUGGGAUCGGUCAGAGAAAUGGUUCGACACUUCCGUCUCACUGGCUCUUCCACUGAUAGGAACUGGAACAGGGGACACAGGCAGAGUGAUGUGUGAAUACAUCUGAGAUCAGUACUCCCGCUCCUGGUGCACUGCCAUUUAGUCUUCACUGAGAGACAGGAAGGCCUCAGGACUGUCUGACUUGGUGAUCAGAGGGAGAUCCAUGGAUAGACUCCUCAGGUCUGGUGUUUGGUACUGGAGCAGAUUCUGGAAGACAACCGACAGCGCUGCAUCUCUCGCUGUACACUGAGUAUUUUUUGUAAAUUCAGAAAUGGUGAUUCACUGUGUGUUUAGACUGAAGGGUUUAAUCAUAAUAAUGCUGAUAUCUCUCUUAAAUUAAAGUGAACAUAUACAGUA